CGCAUGACCAGGGAGGUCAGACUGGCCCAUCACAAUCGCCUUGGAAUCUAUGACGGUUGUUGCCAGGCCAGCGUGGGCAUGAGGUGCAUGCUGCUCUGCCUGCGGCUGCUCAUAGCCGGCCCGGUUAACCUGGGCUGCCAGCCAGUGCCCAAAGCCAGCAUCUUCCAUCUGAGGAGCCUAUAGCACUUUCCAAGCACUAACAUUAUGGCCGUCUGCCAGGGUCAGUAUUAUCAGCCCUCAACCACGGAUGGGGAAACUGAAGCACAGAGCAGUGAGGUGACUUGCCCAUCUCAGCAGGCCCAGGAAGAAAACCCAGCUGCCAUCACAUCCAGCCUCCAUCAGAGAAGAGAUGCCACCUGAGCAGGAGGAUUGGUUACAAAACAACCUAGGAAGGCGGAAGAGCUGCCAACUGUGGAGUCUCACAAGACAAGGUGGUUUUCUUAAAGCCCCAGCUCCUGGAGUCAGGGGAUUAGGUGAGGUUCUCAGCUUUCCUUAAAAAAUAUAAAUGUCUAGUACUGCUGCCUGUGGAGAGAAGCUGGGAAUUGUGAGCCACAUGCAGCCCAAGGGCUCGGAGAGAGAACUCCUCUUACCCCCAC